GCACUUCUGCUUGCAUCGAAUGCUGCCUUUCAUUUCGUUUUUACUUGAAUUUACACUGGUUGAAGUUCUUCUGAAUUGGGCUUCUUGGGGUUGACGACGACGAUUUAUAAACAAGCAAGUACUUCAAUAGCUGAACUUAGCCACACUCCGGCCGAGACCUUCGAUACCCAGUUUCUGUCGUCAUCAUCAUCUGGAACUGAGCUGAAAGAUGGACAUGAAGAAAAGGACCGAGAAUUCCGAAGUACGGAUCGUUUUUAUGAUACUGUGGUGAUUGAAGAGCCCUUGAUGGGAACUCACUUGGAUAAUUGUCAUGUUGAUACUCAAGUGCUGGGCAGUCCAGAUUGUGUUGAAAACAUGAGUAAUGGUGUGGCAGAUGAGUGUGAGGAGGAAGAUGUUGUGCUUGACAGUGAUGACGAAAGAACAUGUAAAACUGAACCACUAAGCACUGCCAAGGUGGUAUCUUCUGAAAUAAAUGAUGGAAGAGUUGGAAGGGAUUCUAUUGACUCUGCUGGCAAACAAUGCAGUGUAGGAUGUUUACGAAGGCUCUUUAGUUCUAUUCAUGUAAAUUUGUUGGAGGCUGGCUCUACUUUAGGGUGCACAAUUGAUUCAGACAAUAAGACUUCUAAGGGAUAUGAUGGUCAAUCUAAUUGUGGCCAUACUGACAUCAAAUCUCAGAAACAGGUUGCAGUUAAGGAUGAUAGAAUGUCCCGAGCAAAAGACCAAUUUUCAGUUGAUCAGGACCAUAAUGGCUUAGAAUGCAAUUUUAAGUCAGAGGUGAAAAGCAAAUGUACUUUGGAUGGACAUGAGGAUAACCGCAUGUCUCUCGCCAAUUUUGAAAGUGACGAAGGGAAAUGCCUACCUCAGCUGCCUGGAUGCAACAAGGAGUCUGCAAGGAUAAGUAACAUUGAAUCUGAGGAGCCUGGAGAAUUGUCACAAGCCACUGCACUUAACUUGGUGGAUGAAUUUUUGUCGGUUAACAAUGUAAACUUGUCUGUCAAGGUUGAACCCAGAAAGACUACUGGGGAUAAAUCACCUCCAGUCUCAAGUGUGAAGGGGGCUCAAAGUUUGGCCCAGAAAAUUAAUCUUAGAAACACAAUUGGAGAAAGGGGAAUCUUUGAAUGGGUUGAUGGCCAUGAUGAUCAAAGGGGGAGCAAUCUUACUGGCAAGAGAGUGGACUCAUUCUUUGAUUCCGGAGGUCAUGGACAUGGAUCUGGUACCUGGCCAAAUAAGCCCAGGGAGUUCUAUGAUAAAGGAGGUAGCCACAUAGGUAAUGAGUGUAAUAAGAAGAUGGAGAUCUUAAAUGUCCUUGGGGAAUUAACAGGUUCAACUGAUUCAGAUUCAACUCUUUUAUUGCACAAUUUGAAUGAUGCUGAUUUGGAGAAACAAUUAACAGCAGAAUUAUGUAGGCAGCAGUUGGAAGCAAGUGGUACUGAGAGGGAUGCACUAGACAUGUUUGAUAUUGGUUUGGGCACUCAAAUAGCUGCUGAAGCUAUGGAAGCUCUUUCAAAUGCCCUACCUGCCCACUGCAAUGAUGAUUCUGAUAAAGGUGAAAAUACCUUUGAAGAUCUUCCAAAAGGUGUAACCCAGAAGGGUUAUUUAGAACAUUAUCCCUUUCAAAAGACGGUUUGCUCUGAUUCAAAUCUUGAGAGAAAAUUGAAGCAGACAAAGAGACUAACUGAAAAUUCAAGCAGAGAAACAUCUGCAUUAGUUCCAAAGCAAUCUAAGAAUCAGGAAUUUGCAGCAAAAAUAAAAACCAAGAUGGGUAAGUCAAUGGAUGGGGUACAUGGUAUGUAUCCUGCCUAUGCAAAUGCAAGGUCAAGCAGAAGAUCUUCUAAGCCUACUAAGCAAAGAAAAACAGAGGAAGUGGUCAACAGGGACAACAUCAAAGAGGUUGAUACUUUCAUUAGUCCAUCAACAUUAAUUGAAGGAAUAUCACUUGGCAAAGCAUGGUCACAAAAGGAAUGUAGGAACUUCUCUCCUAUUGCUGCACGGACUAGGCAUCAGGCAUCAGGUACAAAAAAAAUGGGAAACGAUCCAGGGGCAAAUGACAUUAUGGAGGUUAAUGACCAUAAAAAAAAAUGCAUGAAGAGAGGCUUAAAUGCUGAUGAAUUUGAAGUGUCGAGAAUUGGACAAAAAAUUGCCAACUCAAGAUUGAAUAUAUCUGGCAAAGCUAGAAAGAGAAAACGAGGUCCAGAGGAGCAUACAGGUGUUGAGGCAGCUGCUUUGAAGUUAGAUGUAUGGAGCUACCCUAGAAGAAAAAGGACGCAUCGAACUGCACCAAAUCAUUCAGAUGGAUCUGGAAAUCUGAACGCCUUUUCCAUGGUAGAUGAGGAAGAAGGCAUUGGAUAUCACAUAAAAAAUCUGAAAAAGUUAAAAGACAGCAGUAAAACCAUUUCAUUUAACUUAGACACAAAGAGGAAAAUACAGUUAUCAGAAAGCAAUUCAGAAGGUUGCUUGUUAAGGCAGAAACUUGACGGGCCAGGUUCAGCAGUUGAUGUUUUUUGUCACAAUGCAGCUGCUGCAAAUAAGAGAAUAUUUAAUAUGAAGAUGGUUGGAGUCGAGGCCUCCACUCAAUUCAGAAAACUAGAUGAGAUGGAUUCUGUUUUACCUGGUGAUCAUAGAAAGAAAGAUAUUAAGUUUCAGGUAUCAGCAGGUAAAAAAAUUGAGCAUUCUGUUUCAGAAUGCACCUCUACUGUCAACUCUGACAAAGUCAUCGAUGUGGCAUUGAGCAAGUAUAUGGUUAGUGAUAAUCACAGGUCUCCAUGCAACAAAAACCUACCAAAAUCAUCUCUUAUAAAAGAGCUUAUCAGUUUAGGGAUUCCCGAGUUAGCUCCAAGCUUUACAUCGAAAAAUUUGAGAAGAAGGCGGAAUAUGGCAAAUGUCCGAGUUUUGUUCAGCCAAAACCUAGAUGAAGAUAUAAUUAAGCAGCAGAAAAAGAUCUUGGCACGACUAGGCAUUCCCAUUGCAUCAAGUGCUUUUGAUGCCACACAUUUCGUAGCAGAUAAAUUUGUGCGUACAAGGAAUAUGUUGGAAAUUAUUGCUUUGGGGAAACCAGUGGUGACACAUUUAUGGCUUGAAAGCUGUGCACAAGCAAGCUGUUUUAUUGAUGAGAAAAAUUAUAUCCUGAGGGAUGCAAAAAAGGAGAAGGAAAUUGGAUUUAGCUUGCCAGUUUCCUUGGCUCGUGCAAGCCAGCAUCCGCUCUUAAAGGGUCAAAUAGUUCUCAUAACCCCAAAUGCCAAACCUAGUAAAGACAUGAUUGCUAGCUUGGUCAUGGCAGUUCAUGGCAAGGCAGUAGAAAGAAUUCAGACAUCGAUAAUAGUGGAUGAAAAUAUCUCAGAUGAUAAACUGAUUAUUUCUUGUGAAGAAGAUUAUGCAAUCUGUGUUCCUUUCCUCGAAAAGGGAGCAGCAGUUUACAGUUCAGAGCUUUUGCUGAAUGGCAUUGUUAUUCAAAAACUUGAAUGGGAGAGACAUCGGCUCUUUGCACGUAAUACCAGGAGGAAUUAAUUGGGCAUAUGGUUGAGAAUUAAUGUACAAUUACCAAAGUGAGAGCCGUUCCAAUACCAACUAUCUUCAAUUGCUAUGUUAGGAUUGCACAUCAAACCAUCUUGAAAAGAGGAUGAAUGCUAUGGAUUGUUCAAAGAAGGCAACUAUAUGCAAGAUGGCUUGGUAAUCUACAAUCCAUUGCUUUCAGAGAGCUAGGACUUCUUUCAUCUUUGAAGAUGUUGAACCUGUUCUUCCUUUGUUAGCAAGCAAAGUAAUGGAGGAUGUGAAGUUGACUUGCAAACGUUAUAAAGAUAUUGAAUUUCCGUAGUUUGGUUUCAUUUUCGUCCUAAAGAUUGUUGAUUUGUUGCACUUUGUAAGGUGUUUUGUCUAGUCCAUUGUUUUAAGAUAUGACCUCAAUUUUUUUCUAAAAAAAAUGUGCAAAUAACU